rnacentral:rRNA from 1 species
UACGUAGGUGGCAAGCGUUGUCCGGAUUUAUUGGGCGUAAAGAGCUCGUAGGCGGCUUGUCACGUCGGGUGUGAAAGCCCGGGGCUUAACCCCGGGUCUGCAUUCGAUACGGGCUAGCUAGAGUGUGGUAGGGGAGAUCGGAAUUCCUGGUGUAGCGGUGAAAUGCGCAGAUAUCAGGAGGAACACCGGUGGCGAAGGCGGGUCUCUGGGCCGAUACUGACGCUGAGGAGCGAAAGCGUGGGGAGCGAACAGG